GCUCGCUUGGCUCAGUUGGUUAGAGCGCAGGUCUCAUAAAUGUCGUAUGACGAGUGUUUACUCGGUAAUCCUGAGGUCGCAAGUUCGAACCUUGCAGCGAGCA